GCGCCGCUGACGUUGUUGUGCCGCCUUCCUGCUAACGGCUGGGUUCAUCAUGCUCUAAAUAAAUUUUCCACCUACCUUUAAUAAUCUGUUGGAGGUAACUUGUGGAAAGAGAAAAAAAGUGCAUUAUUUUUAUGCAAUAAUAUUUUUAAUUUUUGAACUUGAAAAUGCAAUAUACUUUAAUCCAGAGAUUUAAAAAGUGAACAUACGUUUUAACCCAGCGGGUGCUGUAAACAGUACGUUGGCGGUUCACACCAGUUCAGAAAUUACCAAGGCAUCCAGUCUCCCAGCAAGUGCCAAGAGGCAUUCAUUCAAUGCUCCGCUGACACCAAUUUGCCCAAAGAAUAUUUAUGUGGGAGACUCCUCAGAUUGUGGAGACCCCAGAUUGUGGAGGCUCCUGGGCAGCUGGUCUUUUUGUGGACUCCUAAAUCUGGCACUGAACAAAAUUCUCUCUCUCUCUCUCUCUCUCUCUCUCUCUCUCUCUCUCUCUCUCUCUCUCUCUCUCUCUCUCUCUCUCUCUCUCUCUCUCUCUCUCUCUCUCUCUCUC